rnacentral:lncRNA from 1 species
GUUGAGAGAAAAGAAGAAAAGAGGGAGAAAGAAAAAGAGAAGAAAAAGAAGAAAAGAAGAAGAAGAAAGGGAUGGUUUUUGGAGAGAAUUUUUUUUUUACAUCUUGUGAUAGAAAAGAAAAGAAUUAUUGAAAGAGUUUAUUCAUAGGAAGAUUUUACAAUAGUUUAAGCACACCUAUAUAUCUAUUGAAGUUGAAUUAAAAACAGAUUAUCAUUUGAAUUCGAAGUUGUGUAGUGGAAGGUCAUCCCUUUGCUCGUUUCGUCUCUAGCUCGCUGCCCCGAAGAAGGUGAAUUUUUUUUUUCUUUCUUCUUUUUUAGAUGUUGUCAUUCCACCUUGCUAACUAUUUUUUUUUGUUUUUUUUUCUUGUGUGACAUCGAUUCGAGUCCACUUUGGAUUCCAUUCUUGCAUUCCUCGUUGAGCCAUAAAGGCUCAAAACACUUUUCCCGAGUCAGCCAACCUCAAAACACUUUUCCCGAGUCAUCCAACCCCCUGAGAGGAGGUAUAGGUCGAAAGUAAAACCAUUGGAGAGCUGCUGGAAGUAGCGGAUUGCAGGCAUUUGGCUGCGAUUUUUGUUUUGAAGCUGUGUAUCUGGUUUAUACACAAUAUAUACAUUGUGAUACAGGUCAAAAAUCCACAGGAGGCCCAAACUCAAAAUCUGAGUUGACGAAAGGAAAAUUACGUUUCUGGAAAGGAGUUUUCAACUUCCGAAAGUUGACAAACAGUCUUAUAUACAGACUGUAUACACAGAUAUACAGGGAUGAUAUACUAUAUAUAUUCUCAAAAAAUAUGAUUGGCAAGGGAACGUACACGGACGCUUGUUUUAACUAAAAUUCGGGAUUAGGCAAUUAAUACGGACGCAGGGUACAGCCCGUAUACAUUAGUAUACAUUAUCGAGCGACGAUAUAUAAUUGUUAAACAGGUUUAAAAAAUGAUACAGGUACAAAUAUGCAGAGACGAUAUGCGAAAUACAGGGGAAAUAGCUGAAAAUGCGUAUAUAAAUAAAUGCAGGCCUCAAAAGGUCCAAAAUGGAUGCUGAUAUACACCGUAUACAAUAGUAUACAUCGUUUGUAUACUUUAUGUCUUCUUUUUCAGGGAAUUGGGCUAAGGCCCUUCAGUCCCCUUUUAUCAACAGGCCCAAUGACCAUUUGUUUUUGCAGGUUUUUUUUUUAAAAAAGGGCCCAAAUCUAAGUAAAUAGAUUAGGACAGGUGGGCCAAAGCCCAAUUGGAUGGAUUUGGGCAAUCAAGCCCAAGUUCAAAUAUUUUUCUCUCUUUAUUUAUUAUUUGUUUGAAUUAAUUAGUGUUUUGGUAGAAUUUUAAUAAUCUCCUAAAGAGUAGCCAUUUUUCAUUAUUUUAAAUUUUACUAUUUUAUUCACUUUUAUCACCAUUUAGUUUUCCUUAAAUUAAUUCUCUCUAAACAUUUCCCUUUAGGA